UGGGGGAUAUUGCACAAUGGGGGGAAACCCUGAUGCAGCGACGCCGCGUGGGUGAAGAAGCGCCUCGGCGCGUAAAGCCCUGUCAGCAGGGAAGAAAAUGACGGUACCUGAAGAAGAAGCCCCGGCUAACUACGUGCCAGCAGCGCGGUAAUCGGUGCUCU
rnacentral:rRNA from 1 species